UACGAAGGGGGCUAGCGUUGCUCGGAAUUACUGGGCGUAAAGCGCACGUAGGCGGAUUGUUAAGUCGGGGGUGAAAUCCUGGAGCUCAACUCCAGAACUGCCUUCGAUACUGGCGAUCUCGAGUUCGGGAGAGGUGAGUGGAACUGCGAGUGUAGAGGUGAAAUUCGUAGAUAUUCGCAAGAACACCAGUGGCGAAGGCGGCUCACUGGCCCGAUACUGACGCUGAGGUGCGAAAGCGUGGGGAGCAACAGG
rnacentral:rRNA from 1 species